CAGUGGGAGACUGACAGAGCGACCACGUCUACCACAGCUGAUUGAGGACACUUCACGGUGACAUCAAGUGACAAUUCUGAGGUCCGGUUUCUGAGUGGAACGGAACGUUUGAGGACCAGGACAAGAUCCCAGACGCACUUGAUGGCGAGCCAUUAAUCCUGAAGGAAAAGUCACAGACAAGGAGAUACAGCUGUUGCCCUGGUAAACUCUGCAGGUGUAGGUAUGGGGCUUCUCAUCAGUCAGUGGAGCCCAGGUCAGGCGGCACAGAGUGGGAGUGGCCAGGCUGACAUUACUUCUUCUGCGGUCCUCAAUGGAAACAUAGACGACUGCAU